CAGCCAUGUAGGACAGACAUGCCUGCUUCCCCUUUGCCUUCCACCAUGACUAUUCAAUGAACUGACCAUGGACUUCCUGACGACCUCUCUGAAUGCUGCCCCUAGUGACAUAGCAGGUUGAGCCUUAAAGAUGGUGCUUCUUCCACAUGUUCUCACUUAUAAGUGGGAGCUGAACAAUGAGAACACACGGACACAGGGAGGGAAAAAACACACCCUGGGGCCUGUGGUGGGAGCAGGGGCAGAGGGGGCAGUAUCAGGAUAAAUAGGUAAUGCAUGGGGGGCUAAAUACCUAAGUGAUGGGUUGAUAGGUGCAGCAAACUACCAUGGCACACAUUUACCUAUAUAACAAAUCUGCAUGUCCUGCACAAGUAUCCUGGAACUUAAAAUUUAAAAAAAUAAAAAUAAAUAAAAA
rnacentral:lncRNA from 1 species